CCCCUGUGACAUACCUAUCGUUGCCUCGGCGGGAGAGCCCCGGGCGUUGGUGAAAGCUUCGCACCGGUAUCAGGCGCCCGCCGGAGGACCCAAACAAACUCUUGUAUUCUAAAGAAUCUUCUGAGUAACCAUAAGUUAAUAAAUUAAAACUUUCAACAACGGAUCUCUUGGUUCUGGCAUCGAUGAAGAACGCAGCGAAAUGCGAUAAGUAAUGUGAAUUGCAGAAUUCAGUGAAUCAUCGAAUCUUUGAACGCACAUUGCGCCCGCUAGUAUUCUGGCGGGCAUGCCUGUUCGAGCGUCAUUUCAACCCUCAAGCUCUGCUUGGUGUUGGGAAUCGGCGUAGCGGCCUUCGGGCAGCUGCCGUUCCCUAAAUCUAGUGGCGGUCCCGCUGUAGCCUCCUCUGCGUAGUAGUUUUCUCCUCGCACCGGCAGCUUAGUGGUGACCUCGCCGUAAAACCCCCAACUUCUGAAAGGUUGACCUCGAAUCAGGUAGGAAUACCCGCUGAACUUAAGCAUAUCAAUAAGCGGAGGAA
rnacentral:rRNA from 1 species